CUUUUGCUGUAACAAAAUGAUUUUACACAUGGAUGGAAGCUGUUAUGAGGAGCUCAUGUUCUGAAACUUCCAACUGUUCUCAACAUGACCCAAAUUCUCCUUCCAGCACUGAUUCAGUUUCCAACUUAUAACUCAAUUAGGAGUUUCAUGUCUCAACAAUUGGACGAUGUAUUGGAAUGUGAUAUUAUUUGGCUAUACCAGGUCCUUUUACAGUAGUUAUCACUGUCGUUUUUUUCGGGAGUAAUUGGGGUGUAGACACUAUCUCCAACUCAGUCACUUUUCAAGGCAUAGGGCUGUCUUCGUUCGUCUUCUUUCCCGAUCGAGAAAAUCCCACUAUCAUAGAUGGACCUAUUAUAGUGACUUUCUUUUUACCACCAGCAAAUCAUACAAAUCCUAUUGUGAACUUAUUUUCACCACCAAUGUAAAAACUAUCGUAGUAGUAGUGGAAAAAAAAAUAUAAUAUGUAAGGCAUGUACUCUCAAUAAUAGUAGAAUAAUAUGUAUGUAAAUAUUGAAAAUAAUAAUGUAAGAUAUGAGUAGUUUAUAAUUAUGUAUAUAUUUUUGUAAAUAUUUUAAGA